AGGACCCACCGUUAAAUACAGAUUUCAGGUAAACAAGGAAUGGUAUUUUAGUAUGAGUAUGUCCCGUACGCUAUUUGGGACAUACUUAUGCUAAAAUUAUUUCCAUUGUUUAUCUGAAGUUCAAAUGUAACCAGAUGUUGUGUA
rnacentral:miRNA from 1 species